CCUACGGGAGGCAGCAGUGGGGAAUAUUGGACAAUGGGCGAAAGCCUGAUCCAGCAAUGCCGCGUGAGUGGUGAAGGCCUUAGGGUUGUAAAGCUCUUUUACCAGGGAUGAUAAUGACAGUACCUGGAGAAUAAGCUCCGGCUAACUCCGUGCCAGCAGCCGCGGUAAUACGGAGGGAGCUAGCGUUGUUCGGAAUUACUGGGCGUAAAGCGUACGUAGGCGGUUAUUCAAGUCAGAGGUGAAAGCCUGGAGCUCAACUCCAGAACUGCCUUUGAAACUAGAUAGCUAGAAUCUUGGAGAGGUGAGUGGAAUUCCGAGUGUAGAGGUGAAAUUCGUAGAUAUUCGGAAGAACACCAGUGGCGAAGGCGACUCACUGGACAAGUAUUGACGCUGAGGUACGAAAGCGUGGGGAGCAAACAGGAUUAGAUACCCUGGUAGUCCACGCCGUAAACGAUGAUAACUAGCUGUUCGGGCUCUACGAGCUUGAGUGGCGCAGCUAACGCAUUAAGUUAUCCGCCUGGGGAGUACGGUCGCAAGAUUAAAACUCAAAAGAGUAAGUUAGGACGUGAGAGACGCGACGACGACGACGACGGAGGAGGAG
rnacentral:rRNA from 1 species